rnacentral:rRNA from 1 species
AUUGAACGCUGGCGGCAGGCCUAACACAUGCAAGUCGAACGAGUGGCGGACUGGUGAGUAAUGUCUGGGAAACUGCCUGAUGGAGGGGGACAACUACUGGAAACGGUAGCUAAUACCGCAUACCAUCAGAUGUGCCCAGGUGGGAUUAGCUUGUUGGUGGGGUAACGGCUCACCAAGGCGACGCUCCCUAGCUGGCCUGAGAGGAUGACCGGCCACACUGGAACUGAGCAACGGUCCAGACUCCUACGGGAGGCAGCAGUGGGGAAUAUUGCACAAUGGGCGCAAGCCUGAUGCAGCCAUGCCGCGUGUGUGAAGAAGGCCUUCGGUUUGUAAAGUACUUUCAGCGGGGAGGCGUUACCCGCAGAAAAAGCACCGGCUAACUCCGUGCCAGCAGCCGCGGUAAUUC